UACGUAGGUGGCAAGCGUUGUCCGGAUUUACUGGGCGUAAAGGGCUUGUAGGCGGUUUGUUAAGUCUGGUGUGAAAUCUCCCGGCUCAACCGGGAGGGGUCAUCGGAUACUGGCAGACUAGAGACGGGUAGAGGAAAGCAGAAUUCCCGGUGUAGCGGUGAAAUGCGUAGAUAUCGGGAGGAAUACCAGUGGCGAAGGCGGCUUUCUGGGACAACACUGACGCUGAGGCACGAAAGCGUGGGGAGCAAACAGG
rnacentral:rRNA from 1 species